rnacentral:rRNA from 1 species
CAGCCGCCGCGGUAAUACGAAGGGGGCUAGCGUUGCUCGGAAUUACUGGGCGUAAAGGGCGCGUAGGCGGAUGUUUAAGUCAGAGGUGAAAGCCCAGGGCUCAACCUUGGAACUGCCUUUGAUACUGGCGAUCUUGAGUCCGGGAGAGGUGAGUGGAACUGCGAGUGUAGAGGUGAAAUUCGUAGAUAUCCGCAAGAACACCGGUGGCGAAGGCGGCUCACUGGCCCGGAACUGACGCUGAGGCACGAAAGCGUGGGGAGCAAACAGGAUUAGAUACCCCCGUAGUCCCUGUCUCUUAUAC